UGAAGUUUUCAAAGACUGGCUCUGCUGUUAAGAAGUUGUACUUAAAGCGGAGGAACUAAGCCACCUGUCAAAAUGUGCAAAGGACUUGCAGCUUUGCCCCACUCAUGCCUGGAAAGGGCCAAGGAGAUUAAGAUCAAGUUGGGAAUUCUCCUCCAGAAGCCAGACUCAGUUGGAGACAUUGUCAUUCCCUACAAUGAGAAGCCAGAGAAACCAGCCAAGACCCAUAAACCCUCGCUGGACGAGGCCCUGCAGUGGCGUGAUUCCCUGGACAAACUCCUGCAGAACAACUAUGGACUUGCCAGUUUCAAAAGUUUCCUGAAGUCUGAAUUCAGUGAGGAAAACCUUGAGUUCUGGAUUGCCUGUGAGGAUUACAAGAAGAUCAAGUCCCCUGCCAAGAUGGCUGAGAAGGCAAAGCAAAUAUAUGAAGAAUUCAUUCAAGCGGAGGCUCCUAAAGAGGUGAAUAUUGACCACUUCACUAAGGACAUCACAAUGAAGAAUCUGGUGGAACCUUCCCUGAGCAGCUUUGACAUGGCCCAGAAAAGAAUCCAUGCCCUGAUGGAAAAGGAUUCUCUGCCUUGCUUUGUGCGCUCUGAGUUUUAUCAGGAGUUAAUCAAGUAGUAAUCUAGCCAGGCUAUGAAAUCAUCCUGUGAGUUAUUUCCUCCAUAAUAACCCUGCAUUUCCCAUUAAUCUGCAUACCUUCCCACAGCAGCUUUGCUCAACGAUAUCCACAUGGAAAAAUCCCAGGGGAUGUUGCUUACUCUUUUUGC